GUCGAGCGAACGGACGAGAAGCUUGCUUCUCUGAUGUUAGCGGCGGUCGGGUGAGUAACACGUGGAUAACCUACCUAUAAGACUGGGAUAACUUCGGGAAACCGGAGCUAAUACCGGAUGAUAUUUUGAACCGCAUGGUUCAAAAGUGAAAGACGGUCUUGCUGUCACUUAUAGAUGGAUCCGCGCUGCAUUAGCUAGUUGGUAAGGUAACGGCUUACCAAGGCAACGAUGCAUAGCCGACCUGAGAGGGUGAUCGGCCACACUGGAACUGAGACACGGUCCAGACUCCUACGGGAGGCAGCAGUAGGGAAUCUUCCGCAAUGGGCGAAAGCCUGACGGAGCAACGCCGCGUGAGUGAUGAAGGUCUUCGGAUCGUAAAACUCUGUUAUUAGGGAAGAACAUAUGUGUAAGUAACUGUGCACAUCUUGACGGUACCUAAUCAGAAAGCCACGGCUAACUACGUGCCAGCAGCCGCGGUAAUACGUAGGUGGCAAGCGUUAUCCGGAAUUAUUGGGCGUAAAGCGCGCGUAGGCGGUUUUUUAAGUCUGAUGUGAAAGCCCACGGCUCAACCGUGGAGGGUCAUUGGAAACUGGAAAACUUGAGUGCAGAAGAGGAAAGUGGAAUUCCAUGUGUAGCGGUGAAAUGCGCAGAGAUAUGGAGGAACACCAGUGGCGAAGGCGACUUUCUGGUCUGUAACUG
rnacentral:rRNA from 1 species